UACGGAGGGUGCAAACGUUGCUCGGAAUCAUUGGGCGUAAAGCGCACGUAGGUGGCUUGUUAAGUCGGGUGUGAAAUCCCUGGGCUCAACCCAGGAAGUGCACUCGAAACUGGCGAGCUUGAGUACUGAAGAGGGUCGCGGAAUUCCCGGUGUAGAGGUGAAAUUCGUAGAUAUUGAGAGGAACACCGGUGGCGAAGGCGGCUAUCUGGAGCAGUGACGUGACGCUGAGACGCGAAAGCCGUGGGGAGCAAACAGG
rnacentral:rRNA from 1 species